rnacentral:SRP_RNA from 1 species
GCUGGGCAUGAUGGCAUAUGCCUGCAAUCCCAGCUACUCAGGAGGCUGAGGCAGGAGAAUUGCUUGAGCCCAGGAGCUGGAGGUUGCAGUGAGCCAAGAUCACAGCCCUGCACUCCAGCCUGAGCAACAGAGCAAGACUCUGUCUCAU